UAGGGAAUCUUCCACAAUGGACGCAAGUCUGAUGGAGCAACGCCGCGUGAGUGAAGAAGGUUUUCGGAUCGUAAAGCUCUGUUGUUGGUGAAGAAGGAUAGAGGCAGUAACUGGUCUUUAUUUGACGGUAAUCAACCAGAAAGUCACGGCUAACUACGUGCCAGCAGCCGCGGUAAUACGUAGGUGGCAAGCGUUGUCCGGAUUUAUUGGGCGUAAAGCGAGCGCAGGCGGAAUGAUAAGUCUGAUGUGAAAGCCCACGGCUCAACCGGGGAACUGCAUCGGAAACUGUCAUUCUUGAGUGCAGAAGAGGAGAGUGGAAUUCCAUGUGUGGCGGUGGAAUGCGUAGAGAUAUGGAAGAGCACCAGUGGCGAAGGCGGCUCUCUGGUCUGCAACUGACGCUGAGGCUCGAAAGCAUGGGUAGCGAACAGG
rnacentral:rRNA from 1 species